rnacentral:lncRNA from 1 species
ACGCAGUAUUCCCUGUGAUGCCUUAGUGCACAGAGUACAACAGGAAUGCUGCUUCCACUACUUCCCAGCAUGGCACCUCCUUUUUUAACAGCAGCUUCACAGGUCAGACCAAGUUUCUGGACGCACACGAUGACCGCAGCCCUUCCUUUCAAGGUUUGCUUUCAAACCCACGAGGUCCCUCCCUCUGCCCUCUCCACCCAGCAGCUCCCAGGACACCGCCACAACCCAGGGCGUCAACACCAGGGCGGCGCUGGGCGCCUCAGCCCCCGGGGCAGCGCCAUGGCGGCGCCCACCACCUCAGGGCCGUUGCUAUGGGGACGGCGCCAUCUUGGGCGCGGCCCGGGAGGCGGGGAGCGGAGCGGAGCGGAGCGGAGGGGCAAUGGACGACUUCCAGGCGGGGGACGAGAACACUCAGCUGCUUGCAUCUUCCUGAAGUCGAGCAUCUCUGAAGCUGUCUAGAGAGUUCACCAUCUGACCAAGGCCUGA